CUCUCCCUCCUUUGGGUGGGGAGGCUGCUCUCCCAGCAGAAAUACCCAUUCAUGUCUCUUCCUUGUGGUCUAGUGUCACCAGGGGCUAUUAUUAGGGACAGAAAUAGGUCCCCAGGCUCUGCUAAACUCCUCCAGAUCCUUUAGCCCAGGAGUUCUACUCCAUCUGUGACAUCACAAUCAUUUCCUGCAGUGCCUGCCUGUGAUGUCACCUCCCCUACUCAUCCCUUACCCCCUCCCCAAGCCCGCUGCAAACUUUCCAUGGACUCUGGUGCCAAGGACAUAGACUUUCACACGUAUCCAGGAGGAAUUUUUAGCAUGGUAUAUGCUAGAAAUAAAACACCGUCCAGAGAAGCAGUUGGGGCUUCCUCUCCAAGUUUCCUUCCUCUCUUUCCCUUGCCUGUUCUGGCUGCAGACAUUAUUUCCCCAGACAGCCUGGCAGAGCCCACACAUGCCAUCACCUGCUUGUCUUAGAAGCAAAGCUCAGCUGUUUUUUUAUUUUAUUUUUGUUUUUUAAAUCAAGUUUCCCACACCCACAUGGCAACCCAACCCAGUCCAGUGGUGAAGGAUGGAUGUGUGUGGUCAGGGCGGGGAUGAUGGUUGGGGUGAUGGAGCUUCUGAUCCAUCUUAGGAAACUGGAUUUUGCAAAAGUACCAAGUUUCUAAAUCAAGGUUAGAACUCUAAGGUUCCAUCAACUCCCAACAGCAACUCUCCCUGACUCCCUCUCCCACUCAUUCUCUGCUACCUCAGGGUGAAACUGUGAUUCUCAAGAAGUUCAGGAGUCACUGGGAGAGGAUGAGGAUCUACUAUCUAAUUUCCAUUGCUAAAAUGUUCAUUCAUUUGGCCCUUUACUCCUUCAAAAAGACUAUGUGGUAGAGUGCCAGCAAAGAUCAUUGCUUCAAGCUCAGUUCCUGUACUUUCUAGCUUAGUGACUCGCUUGACUUCACUGAAAUUCGGUUUACCCGUAUAUGAUGGAUGGAUAGUAAUAUGUUUCCCAUCUCACAAGAUCUGUUUGAAUUUAUGGAGCAUCUCAGGACUACAGGGACACAUGGAACAUCAACAAGAAUGGGGGGUGGGGGGGUCUUUCUGCAGUGUCUUAGAGAAGAAACUACAAACUUGGAAAAAUUGGACCUAUUCAGUAUAAGACUAAGUAGGAGAGAUAGUCAGCGAAAAUCCAUUCCCAAAAUGAAAAGGGACUAAUAAAUAUUGUCCUGCCCUGAAUGGAGAAGAAAGGCUAAAGGAGGGUGUGGACUCUUAAGCACAAAGCUUAUAGAAACAAUGGAUCCUUACACAUGGGCAACACAGGGUGGAAAAGAAUCUUUCUUCUCUUGAGUUGGCAAUAUAAUUUCAUACUAAAUUUACUGUGGUUUAUGUAAUUCUUUUCAUUCACACCAGAAGGAAUUUCUCUGCUGUUUCCCUUUUCAGAAGCUUGGAGACUGUAUAUCUUUGCAAAAUGGAUUUUAAAGAAGAAAAACAACAGAAAAAAAUUAAAUCAGAGCAACUCCCAAGUUUUUCAACUGCUGAGCCUUGCUUCCUAUGCUUCCAGAAAAGAUGCUCUAAAUGUUACUGGAAUGACUGUUAGCUCCAAAGACUGAGGGCUCUCCAAGAAGGUGAACUUCAAAAAUGAGUAUUGCAACUAAAGGAAUGUCAAAACUCCAUCCUUGUCUCCUCUCUGCUUUAGGACCUGCUUCUGCCAUCUGCAUGCCCUUUGGAACAAAUUGUUCUCAUCUGCCUAUUCUGCCAAGAAACAUCUUCACAAACUUGGAGUAGACAGCCAUCUUAUUUAUGAGAUGAACACCUCUGGUGUGAAGGCUUGCUGAGUCCUUUUCAAAGCUGCUCUUUUGGUGCCCACCUUUUACCCAACUCUCAUCUGUGACUACAAGAAACUGAAGUAUGUGCAGUGGCCACACUCCAAUAAAACUGUCUCAGUACCCCAUUUGUACAUUUCCAAUGAUAGAUCACUUUUCAAAGUGGUUCAUAUUCUCUUGUUGAAUAGCUCUAGUUAGUUUAGAAAAAGCUUUCCCCCCUCAUUCACUAUAUAUUAUUAUUAUUUUUAAAAUAUCAUAUUAUUUCCACCCAUUAAUCUUUGUUUUACCCUCUGGACCAAUGCAAUUCAAUUCUGAGCCCUCUUCCAUUUCAUAACUUUCAUAAAGUCAUAGAAUUAUAGAAUUGAAAAGAACCUUAGAGAUGAUCUAAUGCAACCCAUUCAUUUUAUAGGUGAGGAAACUGAGCUCCAGGGAGUCUAGGAAUAUAAUACUUAGUAUCCUACCACAGUAAAUUUAGAGUGUGAUUAGGAAGAUAAAAUCUUCUUCAUUAUCUAUAUACUUGUCACAUGCCCCCACUAGCCUGAACUCUUUGAAGUAGAGAACAAUUUUUAAAAUGUGUGUUUAUAUAUUUGCACAAAUAUAUAAAGAUGAAAAAUUAU